rnacentral:rRNA from 1 species
GGACCAGACUCCUACGGGAGGCAGCAGUGAGGAAUAUUGGUCAAUGGGCGAGAGCCUGAACCAGCCAAGUCGCGUGAAGGAUGACGGCCCUACGGGUUGUAAACUUCUUUUGUCAGGGAGCAAUUGGGUCCACGCGUGGGCUUAGCGAGAGUACCUGAAGAAAAAGCAUCGGCUAACUCCGUGCCAGCAGCCGCGGUAAUACGGAGGAUGCGAGCGUUAUCCGGAUUUAUUGGGUUUAAAGGGUGCGUAGGCGGAAUAUCAAGUCAGCGGUAAAAAUUCGGGGCUCAACCCCGUCGUGCCGUUGAAACUGGCGUUCUUGAGUGGGCGAGAAGUAUGCGGAAUGCGUGGUGUAGCGGUGAAAUGCAUAGAUAUCACGCAGAACUCCGAUUGCGAAGGCAGCAUACCGGCGCCCUACUGACGCUGAGGCACGAAAGUGCGGGGAUCGAACAGGAUUAGAUACCCGGGUAGC